rnacentral:rRNA from 1 species
AUAUUACCGAGUUUACACUCCCAAACCCCAAUGUGAACGUUACCAAUCUGUUGCCUCGGCGGGAUUCUCUUGCCCCGGGCGCGUCGCAGCCCCGGAUCCCAUGGCGCCCGCCGGAGGACCAACUCCAAACUCUUUUUUUCUCUCCGUCGCGGCUCCCGUCGCGGCUCUGUUUUAUUUUUGCUCUGAGCCUUUCUCGGCGACCCUAGCGGGCGUCUCGAAAAUGAAUCAAAACUUUCAACAACGGAUCUCUUGGUUCUGGCAUCGAUGAAGAACGCAGCGAAAUGCGAUAAGUAAUGUGAAUUGCAGAAUUCAGUGAAUCAUCGAAUCUUUGAACGCACAUUGCGCCCGCCAGUAUUCUGGCGGGCAUGCCUGUCCGAGCGUCAUUUCAACCCUCGAACCCCUCCGGGGGGUCGGCGUUGGGGAUCGGCCCCUCACCGGGCCGCCCCCGAAAUACAGUGGCGGUCUCGCCGCAGCCUCUCCUGCGCAGUAGUUUGCACACUCGCACCGGGAGCGCGGCGCGGCCACAGCCGUAAAACACCCCAAACUUCUGAAAUGUUGACCUCGGAUCAGGUAGGAAUACCCGCUGAACUUAAGCAUAUCAAUAA